rnacentral:tRNA from 1 species
GGUAGCUUAGUGGUAGAGUGCUUGCCUAGCAUGUGCAAGGCCCUGGGUUUGAUCCCCAGUACUG